GUUCGUAGACUGUGAUUCGUCUUGAGGUUAAUUCCGAUAACUGAACGAGAUCCUUACAAGUAGCAACACGCCACCCUUACGUAGCCUACCUGAACACAUGAAUGGCUAAGGAACCACCCUACGGUUCCAAAGCACUGGGAAGUUAAGGUCCAUAACAGGU
rnacentral:rRNA from 1 species